rnacentral:lncRNA from 1 species
AUGGCUCUCGGAGCAGUUCCAGUGAAGCAGCUCACCCACCCCCUAGCAGCCUUCCCACCCAGACACAUGGGAAAAUGUCCCGUUAGCCCUUCCAGUCAUGCGAAUGAGGCCACGAUUGAUUCAAAGGCAGUGGGCAAGGAGGAGGCCGCAUGGAGCAGUCAGAAAGAACCAGCCCUUUGUGCUGCAGCAGGGUCCUUGGGGAUGACAGAGACUUACAAAGAUGUGGUGACUGGCUUAUACCCACAUAGCCAAAGGUUCCUUCUGGGAAACCAACCAGAGGUCCUCCUGCAGGUGAAGCUCAUCCUGCUACCAUCUCACGCCUGCGAGGUGUGUGCACAUGUGCACCUGUACGGUUGGUGAAUCUCUGUGUAAUUUUUCUAGAGCCCCUUACAGAACGUUUUAACCAUUCCCCCAGUUCCCUUCCUCCCCCUUCUCUUCUCUCUUGGGGCUGUCUUGGCUUACAAUUCAGUUUCUUGACAGAGGGUAAGAGGCAGUGGUGCUAUCGGCACAGCUUCAGGACCCCAGGCUUCUGAAAACCCAGUGGCUGUUUACAAGUGAGUCCUGCCGGGGAAGGAGGGAAGUGGGUCUGCAGUUCACACUAGACACAGAUGCAGUCCUGGUACCAACAUGACUUCCUGAUGAGCCUAAAAAAUUGUUCUCUAAAGGCAAAGUGAAGAAAGCAGGUGGGUUGGGGGAACCUGUGUUCUGACUUUGACUUGUUUUUUUUCCAGUUGUAUGACCUUG